UACGGAGGUGGCGAGCGUUACUCGGAUUGAUUGGGUGUAAAGGGUAUGUAGGUGGUGAAUUAAGUCGAAUGUGAAAUCCCUUGGCUUAACCAAGGAACUGCAUUCGAAACUGAUUUGCUUGAGCGACGGAGAGGAAAGCGGAAUUCCCGGUGUAACAGUGAAAUGUGUAGAUAUCGGGAGGAACACCAGUGGCGAAGGCGGCUUUCUGGACGUUUGCUGACACUGAAAUACGAGAGCUAGGGGAGCAAAC
rnacentral:rRNA from 1 species